UACGAGGGGGGCGAGCGUUUGUUCGGAAUUAUUGGGCGUAAAGGGUGCGUAGGCGGCCUGACAAGUCUGAUGUGAAAUCCCUGGGCUCAACCCAGGGCCUGCAUCGGAAACUGUCGGGCUUGAGUAUGGGAGAGGUGAGUGGAAUUUCCGGUGUAGCGGUGAAAUGCGUAGAUAUCGGAAGGAACACCUGUGGCGAAAGCGGCUCACUGGACCAUUACUGACGCUGAGGCACGAAAGCUAGGGAGCAAACAGG
rnacentral:rRNA from 1 species